UUAUUCCUUCAGUGGAGCAAGCUGGCCAUGCUAUUAAACCUCUCUCAUCUUUAGUAGCACAGCAUACCUUUCAGCCAGCUGGCCAUGUCUUCAGAUCACUCUCAUUUCUGACAGGAAAAAAUACCUUGUUGCAGGAUGAAUUCUGUCAGAUCUCAGUGUUCCGGAAUUCAGCAGAGCCACAUCGCCAUUGCAGGAUGCCAGCAUGAUGUCACACACAAAGUUGCCCAGCAAGUCUGAUGUCGUUGGGCGUCCGCAUGUGUGUCAGUGCAAUCACGUAGUCACAGCCCUGAAAUAAAACCAUGGAACAGCAUUACAACAAUUAAGCACACAGCUUAAUCUGGAUAAUGUAUUAUUAAUUUUAUAUUACUAUAAUUACCAAUGUUAUUCUGUAUGUGCAAUAAAGUGUUAUUAUAAA